rnacentral:pre_miRNA from 11 species
ACUAUUAUUUUUCGGAUUACUACGCGUAUUUUAUUAUUUUAAAAACUACAUGCCUAGUCCCGACGUUUCGGUUACUUUGCUGACGAGCGGGUGGGCUGACGAGAUGAGAAUGACUUGUAGUUUUUAAAGAAAUAAAAUACGCGUAGUGAUCCGAAAAAUAUUAGUU